GCCGGCAGCUAUAGCUCUCUGCAGCUCUCACAUGGGCUCCACUGAAGCUAGGCAGGGCUGUGCUCGGUCAGUACCUGGAUGGGAGACCACAUGGGAAAGCUAGGUUGCUGCCGGAA
ensembl:rRNA 5S_rRNA 5S ribosomal RNA